rnacentral:pre_miRNA from 1 species
AAUUAAAACUUAAUCUAUUUCUACUAUUAAAAACUAGUGUGAUUGACGGAAUAACUAAAUAGUUAUAUGUGACGUACUUCGUGUACCUCAUGUUAAUGUACAAGGAUUAGGUUUUAAUACUAAUAAUGAAUGAAAUUUUUAACA